rnacentral:rRNA from 1 species
CCCAGACUCCUACGGGAGGCAGCAGUGGGGAAUAUUGGGCAAUGGGCGCAAGCCUGACCCAGCAACGCCGCGUGAAGGAAGAAGGCUUUCGGGUUGUAAACUUCUUUUCUUGGGGACGAAGAAAGUGACGGUACCCAAGGAAUAAGCCACGGCUAACUACGUGCCAGCAGCCGCGGUAAUACGUAGGCGGCAAGCGUUAUCCGGAUUUAUUGGGUUUAAAGGGUGCGUAGGCGGACGCUUAAGUCAGCGGUAAAAUUGCGGGGCUCAACCCCGUCGAGCCGUUGAAACUGGGUGCCUUGAGUGGGCGAGAAGUAUGCGGAAUGCGUGGUGUAGCGGUGAAAUGCAUAGAUAUCACGCAGAACUCCGAUUGCGAAGGCAGCAUACCGGCGCCCAACUGACGCUGAAGCACGAAAGCGUGGGUAUCGAACAGGAUUAGAUACCCCAGUAGAG